rnacentral:tRNA from 1 species
GGGGUUGAAGCUCAGUGAUAAAGCAUUCGACUGCAGAUCGAGAGGCCCUGGUUAAAAUCCGGGUGUCCCCU